CCAUCCGUUUCAAUACAUUCGUAAUCUGUUGAAUCGCUUAAGCCGCUGAAAUCUGAGUCUGAAUCCGACGGGUGGUUAAAAUCAGGCACUUUGAACCUUUUUUUAGGGACAUUGCGUGAUGGGUAAAAUUUUGAAAAAAACUUCGAAAAAUAUAAUAAGCCACUGGGAACUGAUUUUUAAUGGUUUUAACCCUUCUGAAAUUGUGAUAAUGUUCCCCUUUAAAGUUUGUCUAAGUCUAAGUCUAAGUCUUAGUAUGAAAAUGGACCUGACUAGACCCGCUCAUUGGCUGUGCGCCUUAUAAUCCGGUGUACCCUAUGUUCCGGAAAAUACUCCAGAUGUCCUUUUCCCACUUUCAAAACGGGUUUUGAGUUUGCACCGUACUUCCAUGCUCACAUUCCAUCCAGUCUGAUAACCUGAAGGGGGCCUUGGGGAACGCACACAGCUGCACUCGCAGCAAAUAUGCAGUGUUUGCCUUCAGGACCUUGCCAUCCCAGCGAGGCUGCUUCACUGGCACUGAUUGACGUCUUGGAAACGCAGCAUCAAGACAUUUUCCGUAAAUGCGGUAAUGGGGAAAUAUUCCAAGCACGUCUGCCGCUGAAUUACGAACUUUUGUCUUCGUUGGUGAAAAUGGAGGCCCGGUUUCUAAGUAGCUGACAUUUUGCACGUGACAGAACUCCAGCUGCUCUACAGUGUGUUCCGCUUGCAAUCAAAUACUUCCUCUGAAACAUUUUGGCACUUCCUCGUUUUAGCCAGCUUCCCUAAAAACCUGUGGGAAGGGGAAGUAGGACACUUUGAGGUACCUUGACAAACUGCAGCGCUGUGUAGCUGAGGUUUAACAUUCAGCUCAUCAGAUUUCAGUUUGGAUUUUGGGCUCAUGACUUUUACACAUUUAUGCGAAUCAAGUUGCAAAGCACCAAAGUUACGAUAUUCAGCUGGAGCCACGGACCCAAGGCGUAACCAGGGGCAACAGCAUUGGCAGACUUGGCAAAUUAUGUAAACAUGAAGAUUCCUUCUAUUUUUUUCUGUCAACCAAGAUAAAUCUUGCGUCGUCAGACAAAUACUUGCAUCCGCACAUUUUUUUAAAACAACCAAGGAUGUUCUAAUCAGGGUUUUAUGCUGCCGAUUCCGAUCAUCCAUGAGUGAGAACGGUCAGUACCAAAUACCGAUGAGGGCAAUGGACAGUUUAACGAUAUCAACACAAUAUUUAAACUAGUUCCUUAUUCUCUUUUAUUACAUGCACAUUUAUGAGCAAAACAAAGUCUACAGCAGUGUUUUUCAACCUUUUAUGAGCCCAGGCACAUUUGUUGCGUUGAAAAAAAUCCGGAGGCACACCAGCAGCAGAAAUCAUUAAAAAACACAACUCAGUUGACAGUAAAAAGUCGUAAUUGUUGGAUAUGACUUUAAACCAUAACCAACCUUGUAUCAAUAUAGGUCUUGUCUCAAAGUAGGUGUACUACUGUAUCAAUAUAGGUCUUGUCUCAAAGUAGGUGUACUGUAUCAAUAUAGGUCUUGUCUCAAAGUAGGUGUACUACUGUAUCAAUAUAGGUCUUGUCUCAAAGUAGGUGUACUGUAUCAAUAUAGGUCUUGUCUCAAAGUAGGUGUACUGUAUCAGUAUAGGUUUUGUCUCAAAGUAGGUGUACUGUAUCAAUAUAGGUCUUGUCUCAAAGUAGGUGUACUGUAUCAAUAUAGGUCUUGUCUCAAAGUAGGUGUACUACUGUAUCAAUAUAGGUCUUGUCUCAAAGUAGGUGUACUACUGUAUCAAUAUAGGUCUUGUCUCAAAGUAGGUGUACUGUAUCAAUAUAGGUCUUGUCUCAAAGUAGGUGUACUACUGUAUCAAUAUAGGUCUUGUCUCAAAGUAGGUGUACUGUAUCAAUAUAGGUCUUGUCUCAAAGUAGGUGUACUGUAUCAAUAUAGGUCUUGUCUCAAAGUAGGUGUACUACUGUAUCAAUAUAGGUCUUGUCUCAAAGUAGGUGUACUGUAUCAGUAUAGGUCUUGUCUCAAAGUAGGUGUACUGUAUCAAUAUAGGUCUUGUCUCAAAGUAGGUGUACUACUGUAUCAAUAUAGGUCUUGUCUCAAAGUAGGUGUACUGUAUCAAUAUAGGUCUUGUCUCAAAGU